rnacentral:rRNA from 1 species
GAUAAACGCUGGCGGCGUGCAUAACACAUUCAAGUCGAACGGGAAUCGAAUGAUUGAGACUUCGGUCGAUAGAUUUCGAGGAUAGUGGCGGACGGGUGAGUAACGCGUGAGCAACCUGCCUUUGUGAGGGGGAUAACACAGGGAAACUUGUGCUAAUACCGCAUAAUGCAUAUCGAUUGCAUGGUUGAUAUGUUAAAGGAGCGAUCCGCAUAAAGAUGGGCUCGCGUCUGAUUAGAUAGUUGGUGAGGUAACGGCUCACCAAGUCGACGAUCAGUAGCCGGACUGAGAGGUUGAACGGCCACAUUGGAACUGAGAUACGGCCCAGACUCCUACGGGAGGCAGCAGUGGGGAAUAUUGGGCAAUGGGGAACCCUGACCCAGCAACGCCGCGUGAA